AGGCCCGUGGCUCAACUGGUAGAGCAUCGGUCUCCAAAACCGGCGGUUGGGGGUUCAAGUCCCUCCGGGCCUGCCA
rnacentral:tRNA from 2 species